AGCUUGCUUGUUGGGGUUGUAGGACUCCAAUAUGGUAGUUCUUUCAGAUAGUCGAAUGACUUGGAAAAGUCAGUCAAAGAGGGUAAAAACCCCGUAGACGAAAUGUGGAAGACACCUAGGAGGAUCCUGAGUACGGCGGAACACGAGAAAUUCCGUCGGAAUCCGGGAGGACCAUCUCCCAAGGCUAAAUACUCCCUAGUGACCGAUAGUGAACCAGUACCGUGAGGGAAAGGUGAAAAGCACCCCGGAAGGGGAGUGAAAUAGAACCUGAAACCGUGUGCCUACAACAAGUCAAAGCCCGUUAAUGGGUGAUGGCGUGCCUUUUGUAGAAUGAACCGGCGAGUUACGAUUGCAUGCGAGGUUAAGUUGAAGAGACGGAGCCGCAGCGAAAGCGAGUCUGAAUAGGGCGUUUGAGUAUGUAGUCGUAGACCCGAAACCAUGUGAUCUACCCAUGUCCAGGUUGAAGGUGCGGUAAAACGCACUGGAGGACCGAACCCACGUACGUUGAAAAGUGCGGGGAUGAGGUGUGGGUAGCGGAGAAAUUCCAAACGAACUUGGAGAUAGCUGGUUCUCUCCGAAAUAGCUUUAGGGCUAGCCUCGGAAUUGAGAAUGAUGGAGGUAGAGCACUGUUUGGACUAGGGGCCCAUCUCGGGUUACCGAAUUCAGAUAAACUCCGAAUGCCAUUCAUUCAUAUCCGGGAGUCAGACUGUGAGUGAUAAGAUCCAUAGUCGAAAGGGAAACAGCCCAGACCACCAGCUAAGGUCCCAAAAUAUAUGUUAAGUGGAAAAGGAUGUGGGGUUGCACAGACAACUAGGAUGUUGGCUUAGAAGCAGCCACCAUUUAAAGAGUGCGUAAUAGCUCACUAGUCGAGUGACCCUGCGCCGAAAAUGUACCGGGGCUAAACAUAUUACCGAAGCUGUGGAGUACACCUUUAGGUGUAUUGGU
rnacentral:rRNA from 1 species